rnacentral:rRNA from 1 species
CGGCAGAUUAAGAGUCCGCCUGCCCAGUGACUAUAUGUUCAACGGCCGCGGUAUUCUGACCGUGCGAAGGUAGCGUAAUCACUUGUCUUUUAAAUAAAGACUGGUAUGAAUGGCCUCACGAGAGCCUUACUGUCUCCCUUAUUUAAUCAGUGAAACUGAUCUUCCCGUGCAGAAGCGGGAAUUUUAUCAUAAGACGAGAAGACCCCAUGGAGCUUAAAACCUAAAAUUACCUGCUCAAACAUAUUUCCUACGGGACCACCCUUUAGCCUUGCAGAAAAUAAUUUAAGUUUUCGGUUGGGGUGACCACGGAGAAAAAUAAAUCCUCCUUGAUGAAUAAUUAAUUUAAACCACGAGCCACUGCUCUAAGUAUUAGAACUUCUAACUAAAUUGAUCCAAUAAUUUUGAUCAACGGACCAAGUUACCCUGGGGAUAACAGCGCAAUCUAUUUCAAGAGUCCAUAUCGACAAAUGGGUUUACGACCUCGAUGUUGGAUCAGGGUAUCCCAGUGGUGCAGCCGCUACUAAAGGUUCGUUUGUUCAACGAUUAAAACCCU